ensembl:lncRNA
CAGAAGGCAUCUUGUUUGUGGUGCUCUAGCGAUUCUGAUAGCAUUUACAAUCGUCUCUGUGAAGCAAGUUCUGGGCAGAGCUGCAGGUGUGCGGUCUGGCUCCCUGUCCAGUCUUACAGGGAGGCCACCUCUCCAUGACUUCAUCAGUCCCUCACCUUGUCCUGUUCCCUCAGGACACAAUAACGCUCCUUAAGCUAGCAACAGGAUGCUGGCAAUGGGGAUUCCUGCAUAGAUGUUUGUAUGUGAGGGAUCAGCCUGCACCCCAAGGCUUGGGGCUGGGAGAAUUGGAGAGAACAGAAUGGGAUGCCUUGGAAUCAGCUGGAGUCAAGAGCUCAGAGAACUGCUUCCUCCCAGUUCACACUGGUCUAUCAAACUUGACCUUCUGGUGAGGCCCCCGGCAAGCUAAAUGGUGUGGUCUGUGCUCAGUGGCGCUGGGGACACUGGUGUGUGCUUCUGGAGCCUUAGUCAACUAGUUGUAUUAGGCUGGGUGCUGAGCUAAAGGAGAUGGUAGGUGAAACUCUAGCUCUAGUCGCUGUUGUGACUUCUAAUAAUGGGUUUUGCUCUGUAAUCCAGCUCCCAGCUCAGGGGUUACCGGCAUUCACCACCAUACUGGCAGCCCAUCUUUCCCACAUGGUGAGGAGCAGAAGCCUGGCUUCCCUGCUCACUGCUCCGCUUGGAUUCCAUUUAAGCUAGCCUUGCCCCAUGUCAAUCAAUGUCAUGAUUAUUUGAUGCAAACGUCCCCAAAAGAGUUCUAGCUAUCCCAUUGGACAGACAAGGAAAGAGAGGCUCAGUGAAGAGUAACUGCCCAGGAGCACACACAGAAUCCAGAGGGCUCCAGUGUCUGAGGAUGUGGAACCACUUAGAGGGUGUUCCCGGCCAGUCUGGGCAUGGGAAGUCAGGCUGAGACCAAAGAGGUGCACAGAGACACCUGGCAGGGGUGGGGCAGGUCAAGACUGAGUAGGAGCAGAUGCAGGGGUGGUGACUCUGAGGGGACUUUAAUGUCACAGGAUCUAGGUCCACAACAUGGAGUGAGGUCUCAGUCAGGGGUGAUGCCUCUAGGGCCAUGGCUCCACUUCUCUCUGCUUCUCCCUCAUCCCCUUUACCUCAGGUGCCUGGGGUGCUGUCGCCAGCCAAGCUUAACCAGGGCUCCACCAGAACCCAAAAUAGCUACGGCUUCCAGGUGAAAUCAGUGCAGAAGAACACUGUCCCAUUCAUCAAGCUGACUUCUACCUUGUUAUUUCCAGGCAACAUGGCACUGGGGAUGAGAGGAUGAGGGCGCUCUCUCUCUCUCUCUCUCUCUCUGUCUCUCUCUCUCUCUCUCUCUCUCUCUCUCUCUGUCUGUGUGUGAGUGUGUAUGCAUGGAUGUGCUGGGUGUGUGUGCAUGUGUUGAGUGUGCAUGUGUGUGUGUUAUAUGCACAUUUGUGAGUAAGUAUGUGUAUUUGUGUGUACAUGUGUGUUUAUAUGUAUAUGAAAGUGUGUGUAUAAGUGUAUUGCUGGGUUUCUGCAACAACUCAUUUCUUUUUCUGAAAAGAUGCAGGAACCUUGGGAACCUCAGAUUGAACUCCCUAUACACACCAACACACACACAUAUACACAUGUAUAUACAUAAACACAUAUACACAAUACACAUACAUAUAUACACAUAUACACAAAACAUACACGUAUAUACACAUAUACACACAUAUAUACACAUAUACACACAUAAACACACACAUAUAUAUACAUACACACAUAUACACAUAUAUACACACAUAUAUACAUACACUUCCCAGCAUCUCCAGCCAGUGGCGCUUAAGCAGAGUUGAUUUCACACUGAGUUCAAGAAAAGUGUUCUGCCUGGCCAGAGCCAAUCACAGGUCAUCUCACUUUCCUACCACAGAGAUCACAGACUUGAGCUGGGAGACUGGGUUUUCCAACAUCUUGUGGCUUUGGGUACCUGGGAGAGGUGAGCCUGGGCUCCCUGCAGCCAGCUGGAGGCUAGGGGAAGUAGCUGUGAUAUGAGAGACUGAGAAUUGAUGGACUUCGUUUGGGCCUGCAUCAAGCCAUAACUGAAGCAAGAGCCUGGUGGAUCGUGGUGUCCUUGAGUCAAACUGUGCGAUUCUCUUUUCAGAAAGCCCCACUCAGCCCACCGUCAGUCGAUGGAAUCCUGAGUGAGAGGUACUGCAGAUGGCCGUGAGGCUUCUGAACAUUCUAGAUCUGGGCUGUGAGUAGCACCCAGCAUGUGGACUUUGAGGACAGAUGUGGGUAUUCUGAGUCAAAGACUUAGGACAGUCGCACACCCAACCUAAGAGGUGACGUCAGUUAGAUGCACAGGGAAUUAGGUCUUCUCACUUGGGGCUUCCUCAAAAGAGACGGUCAUAUACUAUUUCGGCUGUCACCUACGUGGUCAUCAUGUUUUGUGAGUCACCUCAGGUUUUAACAGUCUUGUCUGCAAGCAAGCGAGUGUCACCAGGACUGGUCUCACAUUUAACCCUGGCAAUACACAUUCCCGAGAACGGCUUCUGCUGAAGCUCUCCUGGGAGGAGCCUUGACUGACAGAGCCACAGCCUGUGUGGCCUGCUCAAGAGUUCAGCCUGACUCCUGCAUCCACCUGGACCCCCGAUUCAUGAGCUGGCACCUCACGAAUAUGUCAAGGCAGAACCACUUCUUGUGUGUCUUCGAGGCAGAAUUGUAAAUCAACGGACAGAGAAAUGAGCAACUG